GACGAACGCUGGCGGCGUGCUUAACACAUGCAAGUCGAACGGAAAGUCCCCUUUGGGGGUACUCGAGUGGCGAACGGGUGAGUAACACGUGAGUAACCUGCCCUUGACUUCGGGAUAACUUCAGGAAACUGGGGCUAAUACCGGAUAGGAAUCCUUGCUGCAUGGUGGGGGUUGGAAAGCUUCGGCGGUUUUGGAUGGACUCGCGGCUUAUCAGCUUGUUGGUGGGGUAGUGGCUUACCAAGGCUUUGACGGGUAGCCGGCCUGAGAGGGCGACCGGCCACAUUGGGACUGAGAUACGGCCCAGACUCCUACGGGAGGCAGCAGUGGGGAAUAUUGCACAAUGGGCGGAAGCCUGAUGCAGCAACGCCGCGUGCGGGAUGACGGCCUUCGGGUUGUAAACCGCUUUCAGCAGGGGCGAAGCUUGUGGUGACGGUACCUGCAGAAGAAGCACCGGCUAACUACGUG
rnacentral:rRNA from 1 species